rnacentral:rRNA from 1 species
GACGAACGUUGGCGGCGUGCUUAAUACAUGCAAGUCAACUGAAGCAGUGGUAGCAAUAUCGCUGUGGAGGUGGCGCACGGGUGAGUAACACGUAGGUAAUCUGCCUUCAGGUCUGGCAUAACUCCGGGAAACCGGGGCUAAUAGCAGAUGAUGCAGCGGCUCGACAUCGAGACAGUUGUUAAAGCUAUGGCGCCUGAAGAUGAGCCUGCGUCUGAUUAGCUAGUUGGCGGGGUAACGGCCCACCAAGGCAACGAUCAGUAGCUGGUCUGAGAGGAUGAUCAGCCACACUGGAACUGAGACACGGUCCAGACUCCUACGGGAGGCAGCAGUAAGGAAUAUUGCUCAAUGGGAGAAAUCCUGAAGCAGCAACGCCGCGUGAGGGACGAAGGGCUUUUGCUUGCAAACCUCUGUAGUGAGAGAAAAAAAUCCCAAUCUUUGGGACAUGAUGGUAUCUCAAAAGUAAGCCCCGGCUAACUACGUG